CAACCUCAACUAUAAGACAUGAUCAUAAAGAUAGUAUCUGACAAAUUAGUAGAUAAAUAAGUAAUUAAAAAUGUAAUCACUACACGCAUGAUGAAAAGCUAAAUUCAUUAAAAGCAGUGUAGGCUAUACUUUUGUGAAGUUUAAUGUUUUCAUAAUUGGACCUUGCAAUCAUGUUUUGCUAUUUUGUAAUGGAUUUGGAUCUAAUUCUGAACGGAAUAGCUAUGUUGUUAGAGCAAUAAAUUUUUUUCCUCUGGGGUGAGCCCUCUUCCUAGGUAAUGAGUGUGUUGUUCAGCUUUUAUAAACCAAAUUCCUUUUAGAUAUUCACUGUCACGAAAAACAAGGGUGAGCUUCUUUUUUUUUUCUUUUUUUUUGCAGUCUUUGCAAGGCCUGUUUCUUUCUGUACAAUACACUCCAAAGGCAACCAUUUAUCUCAGGAAGUAAUCGUGUAGCAUAUUCAAGCUCGGAUGGUUGAUUGCAUCCUUGGUAAUGACAUCGUUUAUAGUAUUAAGAACUAGCUCCUCUCUAAUCUUAUUACGAAGACCUAUUUUUACUUAUGGUUUCCAACUAGAGGAGCAUUUGCCCCCGCUGACCGCCAGUACAUCUUGAGGAUGUGGUUGGAUGGCUUUAAUUCCUUUCAUGGAGAUGAUGUCAGCGUAUUCGUGAUUGUCUCUCUGCAUUCUUCCAUGUAGAAUGUUUUCCAAAGAUAAUCAACUUGUUGUACCAAGAGAAAAUCCAAAUUUCCCAGUGCAACUCUAGGUCCAUCAUUCCAAGUGGAGCCCCCUUUAGACUUUUGUAAGAAAAGUCUCCAAUGACUGAUUGAUUUUGGAGUGCCAACAAACUCUAUGCCCUUUCUCUUCCAAUCUUGGGCCUUCAAUUUGUCAAAAGGGGUGCAUCGAAGAAUGUGAUUAAUUCCUGAGAGUAUUGUCAUAUUGCAAGAUUUUAUUUUAUCAAGAACCCUAAGUUUUUGCUUAUGGACUUUUAUUAUUGGGUGUGAUAUUUUCUCAUCUAUCCGACGUAUGUUCUGGGAUCUCCAGUCCUCCAUUGAAACCACAGUGCCAAGGACCAAUUCUUUAUGAACAAGAUAAGUAGCGCUAAUUUUGUUUAUUUUUUCCCUCAAGUUUGCCUGUAUUUGUGUUUUCUUAUCAUUAAUUAAUAAACCACACUCUCUUCCAUAUUCUUUAUGGAGUGUAUCCAGGCUAGCUCUUUCUUCCUCGAAUUUGUUGCUUCUUUGUAUGACCGUGCAAUCGUCUGCAAAGAACAGAGUUAUCACUGCUGAUGAAAAGAGACUAGGACUUUGGGAUCCCCUUAACCCAUUCAUCUUUGUAAUUCUACCACUGGGUCUCCUUCGAUAUCAAAGAAUGAUGUUCGUUGGACAUUAUAUUUUUAACUAUGUUGCAAUAUAAUUGUGGAAAACCUAUAUUUUUCGUCUCACUCAAUAGAAAGGAAUCUUCGAUAGAAUCGAAAGUUUUUUUUUAAAUACAAGAAGAGAAAAGCAAAACUUUGGGUUCUCUGUUUCCAGAAUUCAACAAUCGAUUGGAGAGACAUUACUACAUUUUCCGUUCGCCUGCCCUUUCUAUAGCCAAACUGAGUAUCUGGGAGCAUACAUAAAAUAAAAUUGUACAAAUAUAAGGCAACAAACACGACCACACAAUUGGUUAUUUGUGCUGCAGAUUCUAAAACCUAGUUUACAUUAAAAUUUUGUUCAAUAUAUA
rnacentral:lncRNA from 1 species